rnacentral:lncRNA from 1 species
GCGGAGUAGGUGCCGUCGGUACUGAAUUUCCAUGUGAUCUCGUCGCGCAUACUGGGCCGAAGCACCACUUACUAGACAAAUUUCCAUAGAAGGACGAACUCCUAGAAGUGUUGCACGGAGAAGGCAUUGUGCUGUAUGUUGAUGUCCUUAAUCCAGUUUCUGUUGCAUAAAGCUUCCCAUAGGCUCCUAUUCUUUUUCCUAGAGACCAAGUAAAUGCGCGGUGCUAUGUCCCUUGGUCGUUGCCCCUGCGCCCAGCCACUGUUCUAGAAGGAAAUUUUCACACCAUCUCCUAUAUCGAUGGUUGUGCAUGCAGCAAAGAGUUUUUUAUCCAUGUUAUUACAGGGAACUUUGGAUCCCACCCAAAGCUUGUCCUCCGCUUUCCACUCUUGCCAUAACCAUCUGAGCCUUAACCCUCUUGUGAACUUCGUGAUGUUUAGGAUACCCACACCCCCUAGCCUAGUCAGCCUGGCGGAUCGUACCCAAUUUACUUUGCAUUUUCCACCGGUUAUGGCCGCCGCCCCUACCUAGAAAAAUUUCUUUUG